GUGGGGAAUAUUGGACAAUGGGCGAAAGCCUGAUCCAGCCAUGCCGCGUGUGUGAAGAAGGUCUUCGGAUUGUAAAGCACUUUAAGUUGGGAGGAAGGGCAGUAAGUUAAUACCUUGCUGUUUUGACGUUACCGACAGAAUAAGCACCGGCUAACUUCGUGCCAGCAGCCGCGGUAAUACGAAGGGUGCAAGCGUUAAUCGGAAUUACUGGGCGUAAAGCGCGCGUAGGUGGUUUUGUAAGUUGGAGGUGAAAUCCCCGGGCUCAACCUGGGAACUGCCUCCAAAACUGAAUGACUAGAGUACGGUAGAGGGUAGUGGAAUUUCCUGUGUAGCGGUGAAAUGCGUAGAUAUAGGAAGGAACACCAGUGGCGAAGGCGACUACCUGGACUGAUACUGACACUGAGGUGCGAAAGCGUGGGGAGCAAACAGGAUUAGAAACCCGGGUAGUCC
rnacentral:rRNA from 1 species